UACGGGGGGGGCAAGCGUUGUUCGGAAUUACUGGGCGUAAAGGGCUCGUAGGUGGCCAACUAAGUCAGACGUGAAAUCCCCGGGCUUAACCUGGGAACUGCGUUUGAAACUGGAAGGCUUGAGUGUGGCAGAGGGGGGUGGAAUUCCACGUGUAGCAGUGAAAUGCGUAGAGAUGUGGAGGAACACCGAUGGCGAAGGCAGCCCCCUGGGCUAACACUGACGCUCAUGCACGAAAGCGUGGGGAGCAAACAGG
rnacentral:rRNA from 1 species